GACAGGAGUUUGUAUGAGAGGGUUUUCAUUGUAGUUGUCAAACUAUCAGGACAAGGGAAAUAACACUACACCACGCAGACGCCAUCAGUUAACACGUUUAGCUAGGAUUGCAACUUCUUUCAUUUAAGCAAAACGAGGACAACAUAACUGACAUAACUUUGCUGUAUUUACAGUGCCUUGAUGAGAAUCAAGAGUCAUUGCAUAGAGAGAACACGUUUUGAUGACUGGUAUUGGGCUAAAAAAAAUCCUGAAAACAAUCAAAUUAAAACAUAAAAGAUUUUUUUCAGUGCAUAAAUGAAUGGGCAACACUGUAGUGUCGUUGCAAUUUACCAGGGUAUGAUGUACUUUUCCAUACCGGAAACCAGCUAAACCGGGCCAAGCAUACUACAUAAUAACGGCUGACUUGCGGUCAUACUGCAUACUACUAUUGAACACAGCACUCAGUUUGCAGUAUGUACAGCAUACUGAGUAUGCAGUAGAUACCGAGUAGGUCUGAGUAGGUUGGCAGGAGUAUGCAGUAGGCCAAUUCAAAAAAAAACACCCAUACUCAUAAUUAAUAACAUCUAUAACCGGGCUUGAGUGGGAGGUGGACUCAGGUAGAGGCUCAACUCAAACUCAAGGUUUUUUGUGAUCUGACUGCAACAUUGCCUACAACUCCUGAGACCAAACUAAUGCACCAUAUAGAGUAAUAUAACUACAUCCAGGUUGGUGGUCAUUCUAUAGUUGCUGGGUGUUGAUUAUACACCGGUGGCAGUAGCUCAGGAGGUAGAGCGGUUGUCCAAUGAUUCAAAGGUUGGUGGUUCAAUUCCCCUCUAUCUCUAGUCUGCCUUUGUAUCCCUGGGCAAGACACUUAUCCCACCUUACUCCCAGUGUGUGUCUUCCACUGGUGUAUGAUUGUGACUGUUGUGUGGUGGUGGUCAGAGAGGUUGUAAGUGCAAACUGGCGGCCAUGUUUCUGUCAGUCUGCCCCAGGGCAGCUGUGACUACUAAGGUAGUUUACCAGCACCAGGCUGUGACUGUGUAAGCAAACGAAUGAUGUAUCCAAUGUAAAACGCUUUGAAAGUCUCUGAUAAAAAGCUCUAUAAAAUCUGAUACAUUAUCAUGUGUGUAUAAGUGUUGUUUGUAACUAGAACUGUAUGGCAUAAAUCUGCCCUUAAAGGUUGGUGUAUCAUUAUCUCUUUGCUGGGGGCUUCACUUUUUUUCGUAACGGGAUAGAGGCGUGUUGUCAAUGUUUACAUAUUGGCAGAAUUUGUCUUUGUGAGCUACUGAUGCUGCGAAGGAGAAUUGAAGGAAUGAACAAACAAGAAGUUUAUUUAUAAUGGCUUUAAAAAGAGAGACUCAUCAAUGAGAGAUGUGUGGCUUUUAAAGACCUGGUGACGUGUGUGCAGAAACACUGAAAGUCUAAUAUUUCCUGUGAAGAUGGGGUCACAUGCAUAUAUCACUGAAGUCAUUCACAGAUGAAUCUUAGCUCGUAUGAGUUUCUGCUACAGUCGAUGAAAACCAAUUUCAAUACCUGCUUGUUCUGAGAGACACUCAAUACGAUCAUUCAAAGACACUUGACCUCUAUUCCCAUGCUGUGAGGCUUGUUUAGCAUACAGUAUGUCAGGGUGAUAUAUUUCACAUUUUACUGCGCAACAUUUAUCUGAUGUCUCAUAACAGAGAGUGUCUACAAUAUGUGAUUAUAGUGUUGAAUUGCUUUGCUGAGACUUAUGUGUCGUCCUGUUUAUACAGCCUGCAUAUGAAAUACCUGAAUAUUAAGCGGUUUGCAGAUAAUCUAGAAAUGCAGCAUUACAAAGUUUUUACACGUAAUAACAUCAUAAGCUCAGUAGAUUUUCGCACAGAGGUUAGAAAUGAGAGUCAGAGCUAUGAGUGUGAAGCUGUGACUCAGCACUUUUCAGUUUCUGACCCACUUACAGCUUCAGGCAUCAACACGUUUUACAUUUUACCACAUCACGACUCGACAAAAACCUCUGAUGAGACAAAAACAGCAUCAAGAAUUCAGAGCCAGAGAUUUUCUGCAGACCCGAAGCCUUUUUAGGUGGAGAAAGAAAGAAAGUUUCAUCACAUCAACACAGCAGAUAAACCAGUGAAAUUAAAAUAUGAUUCGUGAAAUGUUCGCUGAAUACGCUAUAGAUAUUCUGGUCACCUGUGUCACUCAAAGGACAGACAAGCAGCUGUUUAUGUGAAAACAAGUACACCAAAAUGACAAAAACAAAGAACAACGGCGUAAAGCCUUUCCUAUUUUGGACUUUCUCCCCAAAACAAUGCUGACUCAUGUUUAUGAGUGAUGUUUUCAUGAGUUUAGCAGCGAUCCCAGCUGAAGGGAGGAUAAGGACAAUUAUACUUGGAGUUUGAGCUGGGUACAAGAUGUUUUUCACCAAACUGUGGCAAUCCUAGACUUUCAAACACAAACUACUUUUGAUCAUGUCUCUGUCAUGUAAUAGUUAAAACACACCAGCUGAGCUAUCUGCAAUAAAAAAGAGUGUAGAAGCCAAAUAAAUAUGGGCCUCUGCAGCAUGACUAAACUUAUGAAAACAUGUCAAAGCGUCUUACCUCUGACUGUCAUCCAGUAGCAAACACUAUCUUGGUACUUUAACUUCAUACACAGUAGCCACAAAUCAUCCACUUUGGAAACAAAAUCCUGAGUAACACUUUCAAAUACAGGAAGUGUGUGAUUUUCAGAAAGGGUUGUGUUACUUUGCGGACUCUACAAAACACAGUGAAGGUUAAAUAAGUCAAAAGAGCAGAAACACACGAGCACAGAGAAACAGAAGGAGGCUUGGUGAGACAUGCUGCUCUGCGGAUUUAAGGAGGAGAGGACCAGUUGUGUGAGAAUUAUAUCUCUGAAAGGGAACAAGGUGAGCAGAUCGGGGUCAUUUGUGAAUUAAAGAUGCAAAAUGAGUGAAAGGAGUCGGCGUGAUUAGCAUAUUAUACAACCUUUAAGCUUGUGAGAAUAGGAUAAUGUGAUGGUAGAGACAUUUUCUCAGACAGCACCUAGGAGUUGGCUUCUUGAUGCUUCUGAUACAGGCAGCAGUAAGCAUUAACUGAGACCUGGUUCUGGUUUCCUCAUCUCUGUGUUGUCUUCGUUCAAUGCCUGAACACCAUCACUUUUUGAUCCAGCUGUCAUCAGCUUACAAUUGCUUCAGCCUCUCUCUCUUGUUGUGCACAUUCUGUCCUUUGGUUUUUCAGACACACACCUGCUCCUCUCCCUGCUCUCCUCCUUCUCCCCCUCCUCUACCUGCUCUCCUCUCUCUUCCUCCUUCUCUCCUCUCUCCUCCUCCUCUUCCUGCUCUUCUCUCUCUUCCUCCUCCUCUCCCUGCUCUCCUCUCUCAUCCUCCUGCUCCGCUUUCUGCUUUCUCCACCUGUCACUGUGAAGAGCCACAACUUGCAGAUGUUCCUUAAUCUGAGCUGCUGCUGAUGAAGUGAAAGUGAGAGCUGCUUGGUACGCUCUGCUGUUAAGAAAGAGAGGGAGCUUCAUGUAACCCAUAAGACGUAACAAAGGUGCUCAUGGGGCCAAAAUCAUAAUUGGAAUUAAAAUGCGGUUAAUCGCUCAAGGCAGAGGCGAAAUGGGCCUGACUUCUUUGUGCAGAUUUCAGGUACAUGGCAUGUUAUCAGACAGUCUGGUGUUUCUUUAGCUGUUAAGAAUUCACCAUUGGAGUUAUCAAGUGUUGACAAAUCAGAAUCAAGUAUCUGACACAGCUGGGUCAAUCAAGAUUGAAGGCUUAAAGCUGCCAACUGAUCCCUAAAUACCUUAAUAGUUGAUUGUAGGGCUAUGAGACAAAUCGAUUAUCAAGUUUAUUCCCAAAGGUG
rnacentral:lncRNA from 1 species